rnacentral:rRNA from 1 species
UUCCGGUUGAUCCUGCCGGACCCGACUGCUAUUUGGGUGAGAAUAGCCAUGCGAGUCGAAUGGGAUACCUAAAUUUCCCAUGGCAGACUGCUCAGUAACACAUGAUCAACUUACCCUAUAGAGAAAGAUAACCUCGGGAAACUGAGGAUAAUAUUUCAUAGUUGAAUCGGCUUGGAAAAGUUUUUCAAUUAAAGGAAUAAGAAAAAUGGUUCUUAUUUGCUAUAGGAUAGGAUCGUGGACGAUUAUGGUUGUUGGUGAGGUAACGGCUCACCAAGCCGAUAAUCGAUAGGGGCCGUGAGAGCGGGAGCCCCGAGAUGGGUACUGAGACAACGACCCAGGCCUUACGAGGCGCAGCAGGCGCGGAACCUCCGCAAUACACGAAAGUGUGACGGGGUUACCCAAAGUGUUCAAUCUUGAACUGUGGUAGGUGAGUAAUGUUCCCUACUAGAAAGGAGAGGGCAAGGCUGGUGCCAGCCGCCGCGGUAAAACCAGCUCUUCAAGUGGUCGGGAUAAUUAUUGGGCUUAAAGUGUCCGUAGCCGGUUUAGUAAGUUCCUGGUAAAAUCGGGUAGCUUAACUAUCUGUAUGCUAAGAAUACUGCUAUACUAGAGAGCGGGAGAGGUCUGAGGUACUACAGGGGUAGGGGUGAAAUCUUAUAAUCCUUGUAGGACCACCAGUGGCGAAGGCGUCAGACUGGAACGCGCCUGACGGUGAGGGACGAAAGCCAGGGGAGCGAACCGGAUUAGAUACCCGGGUAGUCCUGGCCGUAAACGAUGCAUACUAGGUGAUGGUACGGCCAUGAGCCGUAUCAGUGCCGUAGGGAAACCGUUAAGUGUGCCGCCUGGGAAGUACGGUCGCAAGGCUAAAACUUAAAGGAAUUGGCGGGGGAGCAC